rnacentral:antisense_RNA from 1 species
CUUCAUGGCGGCUGUGUGCAGGCAGACCCUGGUCUGGCCGGAUGCCUACUGUUCGGUUUCUCACCCUGUACAUAGCUGCCACCUUU